UUAAGUUCAGCGGGUAUCCCUACCUGAUCCGAGGUCAACCAUAGAAAGUGGGGGGUUUUGGCAAGCAACCGCCAGGACCCUAUAGCGAGAGAAUUACUACGCUUAGAGCCAGACGGCACCGCCACUGGAUUUAGGAGCCGCGAGACCGCGGACCCCAAGACAAGCCGAGGCUUGAGUGGUUAUAAUGACGCUCGAACAGG
rnacentral:misc_RNA from 1 species